rnacentral:tRNA from 1 species
GUCUCUGUGGUGCAAUGCGUGAGCAGGUUCGGCUGUUAACUGAAACGCUGGUGGUUCAAACCCACCCAGGCAUG